CUGUUUCCCACUGCCUCCGUUGCAAGUAAACCUGUGAAAAAGAACAUGAAAUUUAUUGCACUGAAGUGGUGAGAGAGGAAGAGAAUGAAAUCAUUUUUUUCCACAAGAGAGUUGUUUUUACAGUACAAAAAAGAGACACAAGAGCUGACGCAAACAACUGCGUAUAAAUAGAGAAACCUUUUCUUUUUCAUAUGACAGUGCAGGAAGUCAGAGGUAGCUGGGAAUGCUAAUGGAUUUGAGCUAGCUCUUGAUGUCCUCGGGCGUGGUGCAGAGAUGUUUGUGACAUCUCUAACAAGUCUUUCCAGAAUUUCUAAUUUUAUAACUUCAUACAUGGGGCACUUUCAGAUGUACAACUUUGUAGGAUGUUUUCAUUCACUUAAGAGCUGUGUUACACACUGGAUGAUAGCAUUAUUUCUGUGGAAACAACGAAAGUUCAGUCAGUUUAUAGCCCCUUUCACUCAAACAAUAUUUACAGUUAAAUUAAUGGUAAAUUACAGUUUACACUGUUUCGUAACUAGGAUCUUUUUAAAAACACGUUCUGGCAAUUUUCCAGUAUUGCAAGUUGUAGUAUUGCCAGUAAAUUAUAUUGUGUAAAUAAAGCAUAAGAUAAAAGUACAUGCAAGGGCAGGACACGCUGACGUAAGAAGCCUCUGUUGGACAUAAAGCCCAGUCGUAACACAGUUUUUCUCUCGACAGACAUCUGACUGUUUUAAUAUGUGAAGAGUAACCUAUACGUUCGUACUGUAAUAAAACUGUGGGGGUGGUGGUUGGGUACGUGCGUAGUCACUAUCCAAACUGGAUUGAUGCUUUAUUUAUUCUACAUUGUGCGCACAUAGGAAGUAAUUUGGCAAAUUUGUCUUCUACAUCUUAAUGAAUCCAAAGAUCUGAGGAAAGGUAGACAAAGAAAAAUGAAUUAGUUCUAAAAGCAUAAAACAUAUAAUGUCAUCUCAAUGUUAUCUAAACGUUAUUUUCGUUUCGGAAUUCUGAGUCAUCUGUGUGAAUAUAUCCAUUAAAACAACGUUGUAUACCGUACAAACUGAAAAAAUGGGCAUAAAGGGUCUAAUACAUAAAUAGCAUAAAGGUACUUGUUGCAUGUGUGUUGUGUUUUAUGUUGUGCAUGGUCUUCCUGAUUUUCCUUAUUUGGUCAUCUUUCUGUUCUAGUCUAGUUUGAUUAGUUAAUUCGUCCCCAUGUGUGCAUUCACCUGUUUCAGUUCUCCCUAAUUGUGUCUGUGUAUAUUUAAGUCAUGUCUGCCCCAUUGAGUUUGGCCGUCUUUGAUGUGAUUAAUGUGAGAUGUGUUGAUGCUUGUAUUUUGGAGAAUGGAAAGAAUCCUGUUUGUAACACCACGUCGGGAGUCUUUCUACAACCACCGCAUGUUUUCAAAUACCGUAAUUACAAGCUGUUUAAUGGAGACAGCCCUGCAGUCAUUCAAAUAAAGAUGUCGCUGUCGGCCGCUUCAAAAUGCAACCAUGAAAAUGGGAGAAACUGCUUCUCUAGAAAUCACCAAGCUGACUAGUUCCUGGAAUUAAGUUUUCAUCUACCUGGAUAUUUUGUGGAUGAACUGCAUGCAACAUGGUUGUCUGUGAGGAGGAGGAGGAUGUUCACACACAUAAAGCAGGUUCUCCAGGACCCAGCUGUGUGUCUGUGAAGAGUGAUAUGUCUUUACCUAAGCCACCAGAUCUCAACGGUGAAGUCGCUCCUGACUCUGAACUUUCAGGACUGAUUGCUACUGAUUACUGAUCCUUAGAUCGCCACGUGCAAAUUUUAUAAUAAUGGAUUUAUAUAAUCAUCUGACAAUCAUUAGUUAAUCAUGAUUUAUUAUUAGAUCAUUUUUAAAUAUUUACUUUUUU